AAGCUCGUAGUUGAAUUUCGGGAUCAAUGUUUCGGUCAUGCCGUUGGUAUGUACUGAUAUUAUUGAUUUCUCACCUUCUAAAGAACCGUAAUGCCAUUAAUUUGGUGUCACGGGGAAUUAGGACUGUUACCUUGAAAAAAUUAGAGUGUUUAAAGCAGGCUCACGCUUGAAUACAUUAGCAUGGAAUAAUGAAAUAGGACAUCCGAUUCUAUUUUGUUGGUUUCUAGGAUCGAUGUAAUGAUUAAUAGGAUAGUUGGG
rnacentral:rRNA from 1 species